rnacentral:rRNA from 1 species
GACAGAGGUGGCAAGCGUUGUUCGGAUUUACUGGGCGUAAAGGGUUCGUAGGUGGCUUGCUAAGUCAGACGUGAAAUCCCUCAGCUUAACUGGGGAACUGCGUCUGAGACUGGUGAGCUUGAGUGCAGGAGAGGAACGCGGAAUUCCAGGUGUAGCGGUGAAAUGCGUAGAUAUCUGGAGGAACACCGGUGGCGAAGGCGGCGUUCUGGACUGCUACUGACACUGAGGAACGAAAGCCAGGGGAGCAAACGGG